CGUCAAAAUGCUAUUUUUAGAACAGCGUACUGCGCAGGCGCCGCCGCCAUAUUGGAUUCGGACAAACAACCUGUAGAGCGUGUAUACUGUGUUUGUACGAGCAAAGUUGCAUUCCGAAUAGCCGAAUAUUUCUUUAACAAAACCAUUAUGGUAACAACUAAACACUGCUGCUUCGGUGUCUGCCGAAGUGACUCGCAAUAUAGUGACCGUGAACAUAUGAAGGGAGUGUUUUUCAUUCCAUUUCCAAAGCCCGGAAGAGAACCAGAGAAAUGCCAACGUUGGGUACGAGCUUGUAAACGGGAGGGAUUCACUGAGAAAAAUGUGACAAAGGAUACAUACAUUUGCUCUUUGCAUUUCCUCGGUGGAAAAGGGCCAACAAUUGAUGAUCCAGACCCAAUACCAGCAACAACAUCUGGACAGGUGGAGAAAAUAGCCCGCAAAAGGAAAGCUCCUACCCAAAGAAAUGAGGCUGUUUCUGAAGCAAAGAGAAAGAGGAAAAGAUUGACCCACAACAACACUCCAUCGUCCAUUAAUUGUAAUAGAAAUGAAGUUCAAAUAAAAACAUUUCAGAUGCAUUUGUUUUUUUUAUUGUGACUGAUAAUGUUCACUGUGAUCUUGGUUGAAGAUCCUCAUUUGCUGGACUUGACCCUCGCUGUAAUGCAGCUUUGAUGUUAUACCAUGCACCACCGUCUACAGCUGGAUCAAUUGGUAAUUUUUGAUCCACAGCAUGCUGGCAUCUGUACAAACACAAUGCAUGGAGUAAUGUAUUUAUCUAAUAAUCAAACAGAACAAUGUCUCUGAAAAUAAAUAUAUCUUGCCUUUGUAUUUAUAAUUCAUAAAGGAGCUAUACCUGAUAUUAUUUUAAUAUGUCUAAGAAGAAUGGUUUUUACAUAGUAUAUUAUGUGGUAUAAGGGGUAAGUCCAUAAAACCGAAUGACUCAUUGAUUGCUAGGGAUGUAAGGAAACAAUCGAAAAUUGAUUUAAAAUCAAUUCAAACUGGUUUAAAUGGAAAUCGAUGUAGAAAAAAGGAAAAUUGAUUUGCAUGUAAUGCAUCAAUGAAGAUGACGUUCAAAACAAAUCAUCUUUUGUUCACAAAAAGAUUUGUUUUCCAUUCCUAUCCAUUUCCAUAAUAAUUAUUUGUUCAGUGUUAAGUUUUGUUAGUACAACAAGCAAUAGAAGGCCACAGUUUUAAACAAGGGAGAAAGGGGCAAAUAUAAGAAAAAGACUAUUUGGCCAUAAAAUAACUCAAAACAAUUUUAUUGGUAGUGGCAGGCCACUUUUUCGGACAGUGGAGUUAACUUCUGUAACUGAUUUAAUAUCACGUUUAGCUCCUUAACAAGUUAGGGUUGCACUGUCAGAGUUAAUGAUGGGUAAUAGCCUAGAUUUAAAAUAAAUUCCUACUAUAACAUUCUUACUACAUUUUGGUGGCUAAAGUGUGUUUAGGUCUGCUGAAAUGUGAAACACACUAGUUACACCGCAUACAACACUAAUAACUGAGCGAGA